ACAAAAAUCAUUCAGUCAGACCAAAAACACCUCUGAGAUGACCUCAGUUUGUUACUUCAGCAGCAUUUCAGCUCACACCUAUCCCGACACUAAAAAAGACCACUACUUCCGAUCUGAAAACCACAUGCAUGCAACCUGGACUUAAACUGUAAAUCAAGACAAUCUGGGAUUUCUUGCAUCCUCAGAGGAUAAGCAAGUCAAGACAAAAUAAGGGGAAAAAAAGAAAAUAGAAAAACUGAGUGAUCAGACCAGUCGUCAUGAGGGUGGCGUUUGACCUUUCCUAAUAUAAGCUAUGCUUCAUGCAUCUUAGACACAAUCCAAACAUGCUAGAGGUCCAACAUUAUGCAUUAUUGCCUUGAUUAAGAUAUAUAGAAGAUAUUUCCAGUCUUUUCAGGGUUCCACGCAACAAUUUAAUGAGCUGGCAAUCCCAUUCAUUCAGAUUAUCGCCUUCUGUUCUUGUGUGUGACUGUAAUGAGGACUGGCCAUUGUUCUAAACUAAUGCAGACGUGCUGUCGCAGCGACAUGUGAAUCAUACUCGUGCAGAUAAACUAAUGUGAGAACCCAGGAGGACAAUGUGCAUGUGGUCAACAUGUGCACAUCAGAGAUGCUGAGAGGCAACAAGAUGACACAUCCAAAACCAGACUGGACAAUCACAAUCAUGUUAGUCUAUGGAACAGCUAUCAUGUUACCACAACCACACCAUGCACAGUGUGCCUGGACAUGGUGAAGCUGUAAACACUAAAUGUAGUGGGUGCUUAGUUUCAGGCAAUCUCAGCUAUGAGCAGAAGAAUUUAAACAAAUGUGAUCAAGAUACUGUUUUUUCAUCAGGGCUGUCUCAGCUGUAUUUAAAAAAUUUAAAUGUCUGUCUAUAAAGACGAGAGGCUUGAUUAACUGGUCUGAGACCAGGUUGUGAUUCCAAAUUCAAUCUUAAAUCAGGAGCAGAGGGAGACUCCAAACGGAGCCAAAGCCAGCUGUUAUAGGGGCAAACCUCCCUCUCUGGCUCCUCACUGCUGUCCUCAGAAAAGGUCCUUUGUACCAGGCCCCAUGGGUGCCUCAGCCCUGUGGUUUUAGCUUUCAUUGACACAAACUUAAGCCAAUAGGACCCUCACCUAUUCAUGGACAGGAAGGGAGAAAACUGCAAGAAAUAACUCAGCUCAGGGUCUGAAAUUCCUAACGGCACUCGUCUGCCAUAGUUGAGACUGCUCGAAUGGUCAAAAGACAACCAAGACCUUCAUUCACGGGCUGUUUCAGAGAUUGUGGAAGAAAAACGGGAAAAACUUUAAGUGCUGCCAGCCGGGCCUGCAGACAGACUCCUCCAGCUGUGCCUCACACUGAUUGGCUGUUUCAGCAGUUUCCUCACUGCGCUUGGUCAUUGUGUGUCAUAUUUCACUCCUGAUGUAAGUGAAGAACCCGGAGCAAAGUCCACGCAGAGAUGCGCCGUCCAGGAUUCAAACGUGGGACCGACUUGCUGUGAGGAGACAGGGGUAACCACUGCACUACCAUGCCACCCUAUUCUGUGAAAUGAAAAGACUGUCAUUGGCAUGUUGCCCACACACUCAGACACCAGCAGGAACCUGUGGAGGAAGUUUAGCAAUGGCGCAGAGAAAAAGAGAGAGUCGGUAAUUAAAGAGGAGCGGCAGACACACAUGCAGAAAUGCACACACACACACACACACGCACACACACACACACACACACUUCUUUAACUCACUGAAGCAGAGGGAGACACGACCGAGUCAUCCCUGUGAGGAAAGAUGCAAAUAACGUUUCAGAUUAAGGGAAACAGAGAGUGAUGGUAAACACUGUCCUCUGUGAUAGAAAUACACAGCGAUAUCAGCACUAAUUAAGCAGGACAUUGCGUACACACACACACACACAUGCAAACAUGCACACACACACAUGCACACCAGGAGACAUGCAGGGGCGGCUGAGGUUUUUAAAUUACAGCGUAUAUUCCAGGCACUUCUUUUUCGUUUUCUGCACACAAGAGCACUGAAGGAAAAACUUAACUGAACUUGAACUAAAAGCUCUAGGUCAACAGAGGAUUUUGAUUUUUAAUAGGAUGAUAUAAUUGUAAUAAGUAAAGCAUUAGCUUCCUUAUAUCCUGACACCUCCGAUCAUCCACUGCUAAAUUUCUUCUUCACUAGGCUGUUUUUGUAAGUUUUACUAUGAGAAGAGUGAAAGAGGGUCAGUCCAAAUAUGAUUUAACACCAGCAGCGGUUCAGUGAAUUAAUAUUGUGUAUAUUUUCUGUCUCUGUAAGGAUCUUUUGGACAAUGCCAAGUUAGAUGUUUCCACCAGUUUCCAGUGGAGCUGUUAGUGAUGCUUGCAGAUAAUAAAGGUGAAGUAAACUCAUGAAACAGAAGGACAAAAAACACCAAAUCAAACCAAACCAAAAAACACUGAAGGUUUAUGAUAUUUCCUAUUGCAUUAAACUGAGUAAAUACUGAAAAUGC